UACGUAGGGACCGAGCGUUGUCCGGAUUCAUUGGGCGUAAAGAGCUCGUAGGCGGCUGUUCAAGUCGAACGUGAAAACUCGGAGCUCAACUCCGAGCCUGCGCUCGAUACUGGACGGCUAGAGUCUGGUAGGGGGAUCUGGAAUUCCUGGUGUAGCGGUGGAAUGCGCAGAUAUCAGGAGGAACACCGGUGGCGAAGGCGGGUCUCUGGGCAACAACUGACGCUGAGGAGCGAAAGCGUGGGGAGCGAACAGG
rnacentral:rRNA from 1 species